GCUGCCAGUUGCUUCAUCCAUUUCUCCAAAGGCAACAAGCUAAUCUGAAGCUAGCGGCUAAUGGUAAUAAUUGUAUGUUUCACAUAUCAUGAGUUGACCUUCUCCUGAAAAAUCAAGUUUAGUUAAGUUUACUUGACUCUUCUGCCUGAGACCUACGAGUUAGAAUGUAGAAGAAAUAUUUACAGUAAUUCUUUAGCAAACUAGCUCAUUAGAGAACGUGCUAAUUGGAAGCUAGCAUGAUAGUUUAUUUGCAUUUCCUUCACUCUCCAUUUUUCUUUCUUUGUCAAGUUGAAAUCUUCUGAUCGAUCUUAAACACUUGGACAGGGACAGACAUGGUUUUUGUUCAAUAACAAUUUUCAAAAUAAAAUGUAGUCGUAUGGAUCUAUCAAUCAAUACAAUUUUAUUUGUAUAGCCCAUAUUCACAAAUCACAAUUAGUCUCACAGGGCUUUAACGAGGUGAGACAUCCUGUGGCCUUGCAUGAAGCGGAGGGAAGAUGUGGUGGACGUUGUGUUCCUCAAUGUACAGCUGUGUUCCAGAUGCUGAAUCCUGGAACUGCACUACUUACCAGGACUAUGCAGACAGUGUCUUUGUCCAUAUGCAAAAUCUAAGCUUGAGAAGACAAGCUAAUAUCAUCUUGGCGGUUGACAUCCCUGACAGAAGGUCGAGGGAAUCAAAGCAGUGCAGAGACUUCCGCGUGUUGGUCAGAAAAAGAAAAGCUGUUCAGACUCAGCCGUGAGGAACAUGAGAGAUUAGGAAGCUUCCCCUGAAGUGUUAGGGUUAGAGCCUGCAGUGAGCUCAUGAGUUACCAGGGGAUGUGAGGGAACGGUCCAAGUCCCUGUUGGAGCGCUUUGUGGGGUUGAUGUAUGGCAGGACGAGUGGAACCAUGGAGUGUGAUGGAAUCCACCUUCGCUCCCAGGCAGCAGACGCUGGUUUAAUGGGCUCGAUCGGCAGUGAUGGAAAAGUGACUGUGGAGGUGGAGGUAGCUGGGAGAGCCCUUCACCUCCACCCGAGGAUCAAUCAGAGCAGGGGAGAGCUGUCAGCUGACUGAUCCUCAGGUUGAACAGACAUCGACACGUGAGAGACUCUGAGCUGCAGAGCUUCAGAUUCACUUUAUCAGAUUCUUUGUGUUUAUAUGAUUUAAAAAUCUGGAUCAACAUGAACACGAUUCAGCUGAACAUCUGUCUGACAGCAGCUGGAAGAGAACGCAGACAUAGAAAGUCAAGUUUUUUUUAAAGAUUUUAUUCUAUCGUAUUUUUCAUGAACGUCAUGACAACACAGACAUAAACUUUAUCCAUUUGUCUGCAGCUGUAAAACAAAGACAAGCUCCGCCCCCUCCAAC